rnacentral:rRNA from 1 species
UAAAUGACUCUCGGCAACGGAUAUCUUGGCUCACGCAUCGAUGAAGAACGUAGCAAAAUGCGAUACUUGGUGUGAAUUGCAGAAUCCCGUGAACCAUCGAGUUUUUGAACGCAAGUUGCGCCCAAAGCCAUCCGGCCGAGGGCACGUCUGCCUGGGCGUCACGC